UAUAUAAAGAAACUAUUAUGGAAAAUUAGCUAUAUAUCAAAGAUACUUAGUCGAACUAAAAUCUAAGAAAAAUCUAAUAAAAAAACAAAGUGAAUUGAAAUAUCUUAGUAACUUUAGGAAAAAAAAUCAAACGAGAUUCUAUAAUUAGUGUAAGCUAAUAUAGAAAAGCUUCAAAGUAAAAUGGAAAAAAAUCUGUUUGAAGAAAAUAGGGGAACCUUCCUCUAAAGCUAAAUAUGAUAUAUAAGCGAUAGUAAAAAGUACCGUGAGGUAAAAUUUGAAAUAGUAGUUUUAUAAGCAGCUCAAGUUAAAUCUAAGUAAAAAAAUAAGAGCGUACCUUUUGCAUAAUGGGUCAGCAAGUUAAAAUUAGAAGCAAGCAUUUAUUUAUUUAAGAUAUGUUGUAUAUACUAUUAUAUAUAUCUGUUAGUAAUAACAUAUAUAUAUUUGGUUACACAGAAGCCCCUUUGUAGUAAUCGACCCUUCCUCUUACUUCUUUUUAUCUCUACGUAAAGAAAGCAAUGGAUAAAAAAAAAAGAAGGGGGAGAGUUCUCUUAUAUACACUUAUACGAACUAAAUAAUUGCCCAGAUAAACCAAUUAUGAAAAAAUGAAAAGUUUCUAAAUUUAGACCCGAAGACUAGUGAUCUUACCAUGAUCAGGGUUAAAAAGGCCCGAACGGUUUAUCGUUGUAAAGAUAUCCGAGGAAUUGUGGUAAGUUGGUGAAAGAUAAAACUGACUAGUAAUAGCUGGUUUUCCGCGAAACCUAUGUGAGUAGGUAGUUUAACUAACAUCUUAGCAGGUACAGAACUGUGAUCUCGAACAAUAACUAAAAAAUUAGAUUUUGUAGACAUCGGGGGAUCGUAGUGAUUUUAUCGGAGAGUAUUUGCACUCGGAAGGGCAAAGAUGAAUGUUGAAUAAUCGGACAUAGUGCGAUAAGGUUGUAUGUCUAAAGGGAAACAGCCCAGAACAAGAGUUAUAAGGUUCCAAAAUUAUUGUUAAGUGAAAUUAAGGAUGUUAAUAUCAAAUACAAUCAGGAAAUAGGCUUAGAAGCGGCCAUUUUUUGAAGACCUCGUAACAGAGCACUGAUUUAAAAUUAAUAGAUAUUAAAACCGAAAAUAUAACGGAUCUAAACAAUAUACCGAAACCUUGUACAUAUGUAAAAUAUAUAAUAUAUUCUAUAUAUGGGGUAGCGGAACAUUGGAUAAAUCUUAAAAUUUAUUUCUUAUCAAGAGUAAAUAAUAAUGGGGGCUAAUAAGAAAAAUCCAAGAGAGAAUGCUGACAUGAGUAACGAAAAAGGAAUAAAUUUCCUCGCCUUAAGCUUAUGGUAUUUUAAUUAAAUUUCGGUAUCUAAGUAAGUAAAGCUAUAAUAUAAUAUGAUUAUCAAGUAUCUAAGGAGGGUAUAUAAGGUAUAAUCUUAUUAUAUAAAGAUCAUCAUAAAAUAGUGUGUUAAUUUUUAUGAGUCCCCGCGCGCUCCGCGCGCGGGGACGCGUCCCCGCGCGGUCUGCGCGCGGGGACCCGGGUAAAUAUAGUUUAAAAUGAUGAAUUAGAUUUUGAGAAAUAAAAACCUUUAUUAAGUGUUAAAGGUUCAGGAAAAAAAAUCAAAAAAUAUAUUCAAUACUAAUUGAAUGAAAUCAAAGUCAUUCUAUAAUUUCUUAUAUCUUUUCAUGAUAUAUAUUACAUCUAAUAGAAAUUAUAGAAUAGUAUGGGAAGGGGGUUCUAUAUACUGCUGUAUAUGUAGCAGCGACAAUACCGUACCUAAAUACUAACACAAGUAAGCAAGUAGAGUAUACAAAGGCGUUUGAGUGAACAAUCCUUAAGGAACUCGGCAAAAUGACUACCGUAACUUCGGGAUAAGGAGGGCCAUUAUAAUAGAUAUUACGAAUUAAAUACCAUAAUUUAGUAAAUCUAGUUUAUAAGAGGAAGCAUAGAAUAGUGUUGUACGACUGUUUAAUAAAAACAAAGCACUCUGCAAAGAUAAAUUAUCUAAGUAUUGAGUGUGAUGUCUGCCCGAUGUCGGCAGGGUAACUGAUUUUCUUAAUUUUAAAAAAUUAGGUUUUGAUGGACACCCCGAUCAAUGGCGGCCUUAUCUAUAAGGGUCCUAAGGUAGCGGAAUACCUUGGCCGUUAAAUGCGGUCUUUGCAUGAAUGAUUUAACGAUACAACAGCUGUCUCGAGGAUUGGCUCAGUGAAAUUGAAUUAGCAGUGCAGAUGCUGCUUACCUCUAGGUAGACGAGAAGACCCUAUGCAGCUUUACUGUUACCUAUCAAGGAUAUAGUGAUAAUUUUCAGUGGAUAAGGUAAUUCAUUUGCAAUUGGAACACCUUUAUUUGUUCUAUUAUAUACCUAAAUGAUAGGAAGGCAGUUUAUGCGGGGCACAGAUCCCAUAAAAAGUACCUGGGUAUAUCCAAAGUUCAUAUUGUAAAUAUGUAAAUUAUAAAUUUACAAACUAAUAAUUUAUCAAUUAUCCCCGCGCGCUCCGCGCGCGGGGACCCCGAUAAAUUAUAAAUUUAUUUUGUUAUUAAUUAUAAAAAUAAUUAUCCAGUUAUUAUUGUUUUAAAGACGAAUUUAUAUUACUGUUAAGUAAGAUUUUAACUAUAAGGUAAAUAGUUGUAAAUAUAUUAUUAAUAAAAAUAUUAAUAAUAAACUCAUAUAAAUAAAAAAUAAGAUACUUUUAUAUAUAUGAUAUUAAAUUUUACUAUAAAAGUUUAAUGGCUUAAUCUUGCUUUACUGUUUGACUUACAGGUCUAUCAGUCGCGUAAGCGGGGCAUAUGAUCACAAGAUGCAGAAAGGAAAGGUCUUGGAUUCUAGAAAAAGUUACGCUAGGGAUUACUUGUUAGUCCUCCAAUGGUGUGAAGCAUUGGUAAAAUAUUGGGAAAAUUUCAAAAAUAACUUAUAUUGCAUUGCAAUUUUUAAGUCUAUUUGAAGCGAAACUUAUUUAAGCAUAUUUUUGCUAAUAUGCGCAAGAGAGUACAAAUUGAGUGCGCGGUUUGGCACCUCGAUGUCGGCUUAGCCCUUCCACAUGAAUGUAGAAAUCAUGAAGGGUUCGACUGUUCGUCGAUUAAAGGGCUACGUGAGCUGG
rnacentral:rRNA from 1 species